rnacentral:rRNA from 1 species
GACGAACGCUGGCGGCGUGCUUAACACAUGCAAGUCGAACGGAAAGGCCCUGCUUUUGUGGGGUGCUCGAGUGGCGAACGGGUGAGUAACACGUGAGUAACCUGCCCUUGACUUUGGGAUAACUUCAGGAAACUGGGGCUAAUACCGGAUAGGAGCUCCUGCUGCAUGGUGGGGGUUGGAAAGUUUCGGCGGUUGGGGAUGGACUCGCGGCUUAUCAGCUUGUUGGUGGGGUAGUGGCUUACCAAGGCUUUGACGGGUAGCCGGCCUGAGAGGGUGACCGGCCACAUUGGGACUGAGAUACGGCCCAGACUGCUACGGGAGGCAGCAGUGGGGAAUAUUGCACAAUGGGCGGAAGCCUGAUCCAGCAACGCCGCGUGCGGGAUGACGGCCUUCGGGUUGUAAACCGCUUUCGCCUGUGACGAAGCGUGAGUGACGGUAAUGGGUAAAGAAGCACCGGCUAACUACGUG